GCUUCAAAGGGUAUAAACUUUACUUCGCGAGGACUAGCCAUCAAGUUUCUUUUUAAUAAUAAAAUUUAUUUGUGUUCUGUAUGAAACACGUAUAUUCGGGAUUGAAAUUGGCAAUCUAAAAUCAAAAUACAUCUAUCUUUCUCUUAUAUUUCUUUUCGAUUUUGAUUCGCGAUAUUUCCACUACACUAGAGAUAUCAACUCGCGUGCGAGAUAGCGUGAAAUGUCGAAUUUUCUUGCAAAAUCCAAUCUUAAUCUCUCGAUCCGAAAUCGCACAGCCCGAUAUUCUCUUCUCAUUCUCCUUCCCCUUUCGAAUGCAAGCUGUUCUUUUGCAUUCGAUGUAUUCAGCAGCUCGCUCGUCUCGCGGAUUCGCGCGUGAAUCUGUCGAUAUUCCAUCGGAUAUGCCUGGGCUGGAGAAAGGAAAACAUUACGGCGCCUCCUGAUAUCCCUAUUUUUCCUCGCGGUUCUCGCUCGAUAUAGCCAACGGAUCGAGAAAAAUAUUCUCUUCGCGUCCCGGAAGUUUAUAAAUUCCAUCAAAACGUAUCUCAAUGCCAUCGAGAUACCUAUUCUUGUAAAGAGAAGAUCCGCAUGAGACGAAAGCGAAUCUUUUCUCAGUCAACUCGAUAUCUUUUUCUAAUAUUGUAAGAAUUAUUAGAGAAAAUUUAAGUUUCAAGUGCAAAAUUUUAUGGAGAAAUCAGGUAUCAAAAUGUAUAAUUUCAGAAAGUGAGAAAUUGUGUGACGAUUAACGCAUAUGUAUAAAAUACAUAUACAUUUUAUUCUUGCUUCGUGCACUCUGUAUUCCUUUCAGUGAUUUUAUCGAUAUUCUUCCUGGCUAGAUGUUAAAUCUGCCAUACACACUUUGCACUUACACCUACUCUUCUUUUACCUGACCUAAAAUCUAUUAAACAUUAUUUAUCGAGAUAUAUGUAAAAUCAUCUGUCAUGCGGAUCAUUUUUGUAUCCCUUCGCCAAGCUUCUGAAAUAUUUUAUCUAAGAUAUUGAGUUCCACGGGAGAAGUGCCUUCUCAUUCAAUUCAAGCGAAAACUAUUCGACAUAGCUUCGUGUAAAAAAGAGAAAUGACGAGAGACCGUCUAGUCUUCGUCGCUCAGUCAAGGGAGUCGGAGUUUGCACACGGGCGAAGACAUCCCGCAGGAAUUUUACUCCUUUUUUCCUCUUUUCAGGGUGCACCACGCGGAUCGCUUACGAUCAGGCUCGUCAUAAGGUAUGCGUGAUGCAACGUCGUGGCGGCGACGGCGACGGCGAUGUGCAUUUAGACACAUCUGGGACGAGUGGCGCAUCGUAAUAAACACGCGUGGCCGCGGGGACAAUGAAAUUUCGUGUGCAUCUAGCGACGAGGGGAGAACAGAUGCAUACGCUGCGGCUUCUGACGCGCUGAUAAGAUCGGCGCACGUUCUCGCAUUCACAAUGAAAACGAGGAGGCGCGACGACACGGAAAUUAUCUCGCGCGCAGUACCGGUUAGUAUAUCCCUAAUCCUAAUAUCCUCUAGUUGGCCAUUCUCUUUGAAAUACCUGAGUGUUCCAAAAUAUACGGAAUAUUUAAACGCUGAAUUUGAUUAGGCUACCAAAAUUUCAUCGAUUGUUUUACAUCAUGCUUCCCACACGAACAGUAUAUCCAUGUUAUUCGUAGCAAUCCUUUAGCUUUCAAUAUUUCAUUUAUUCAAUCAUGUUGUAAAUUACAUUUGUUUAUGUUGUUAAAAAAAGUUUGUUGACUAGUGUAAUUCUUAUGACAUAUUGCAAAAAGACAGACUCGCUUUCGUUCUCAUAUCUAGCUUUCAUAAGGAUACUCGAUGACACCGAAGUACGUUUUCGUGUCGGUAACAUGUAAAAAUUAGCGUCAACUGAAUCUUAUCGAUUGUUAUACCAAUACCGUGUAUGAGUUUAUAUCAAACCGACUAAUAUCACCCUUUUUUUUUUAGUUUUUACUUGUCUAAAGGAACUCACUCUUCCACUCAAUUCUAAAAGGAAGCGUGCAUUUCCUCCCUAUUUUCGAUACGUGAAAGGUUUCGGAGCGUUUCGAGCGAAAAGGAUGGGACAAUAUUGCAAUCACUUGCGACCGAUUUACUAUUUUAAUAAAGUGGGCGCGAAAAGAGGCGGCGACGCCUCGAAAUUAUGGCAGAUGUGGGACGACGCGGAGCAACGGGAAAAGCAGAGAAGGAAAGCAAGAGAGAGAGAGAGAGAACCAUGCUAAUGGUACCAUAGAUUUCUACUCCUUUCCGUUCGCAUUUCGUCGUCGUCGAGGGGUGGAAAAUCGCGCGUUGCGCAAGGCAGAGUGGCGGAGGAAUGAGAACAACUGAAAGGAGCGCGACUCGCUUAACCCUCUAAACGCGUGGAAUAAUUUACGAUCGGUCCCAUCCGCGACGAUCUUCUCCGAGGGAGAAGGAGAAGGGUUUCUUUCGCCCGGGUUGCCUCCCUUUUCUCCCUUUUCUCUCUCUUUUCCCAUCCGCCGCGGAAACCAACCCCGUUAUCCACGAUUUCCUCGGCGCACCACCCACCGCGAUGCCACCGGAACUCGCCGGUUCCAUACACAAACCAGAGAACGUCGCGGGAGAGACGGUUGAUCGAUCGACUUACAUUCGAUCUGCCUGCUCAUCCUUUUACGCCACCUUAUACUUGCUUUCAGGGCGAUGCGAAAGUGCCACUUAGCGCGACUUGUAAUAUCGCGAAUACCGCGGCGUUCACAUCUCCGUAAAUUAUAACUGGGAUACAUAUAUCAUAUUUCGAAAUAACAGUUCGUAAACUCUAUGUUUUAUUGGAUGAAAUAUUUAAUCUAGACAUUUGGUUCAACAGACGACAAACAUAUCGUCGAAUAAAAAUAAUCGAACUUGGUCAAAGACUAUCCCAAGUUUUUAAAGACUAUUUCAAAUUGAUUCGUAAAAAAGAAUCUUUCAUUUAAUCUACAACGUCUUUUCAAAAAACAACCUCUUCUCAAGACAUUUCCGGAAGUUAUUCCUAUGUAAACGCAUUAUUGCACAAUUAAGGAUCAGCGGCCCGUCGCAGCUGUAUCGUCAAAUACGUCGACACAUCACGCUUAAGGGGAAAUGCAGCAGAACUAUAUCGAUAAUUUUAUAAUAAUUCAAUAUUCAUUACAGCGACAGGAGGCACGUAUGCUCCGGGGAAAUGCUGUUGAUAUUGCGAGAGACAGGGACAAACGAUAGUCGCAUCCUUCAGCCUGACUCCCUUUUGAGUCGGCCUCUUCCGAAGUUACACCGCCAUCGAAUUUACGUCGAACUCCUUUGUGCAGCGGAUCACGACAGAAACCAAAUUAAGAACGAGCCUUGGUUUAAUGGGAUUUUGAGGCGCGGAGACGAGGAUAGACUUGCGGGAUGACUGACGACAUCAUAAACGUUAAUAUCUCUCGGUUCAUCACAAAAACUGUUCCUUAUGAACAAAUAUAUCUGCGGAAGACACGAUUGUCGCUAAGAUUUUUACAACCUUUGGCAUGCACUCUAGCACGUCAUCGAUCAAUUCGGGCCGCUCGACACGCGACACCAACCCAAGACAGCAUCACGAAAAGUGGAUAAACAAUGACUCCCUCGAGAUCGUCAACUUUCUCGAAAGUUUACGACAGUCCGGCUCUGUUCAAACUGCGCAAAAAGCACGACCGUGCGGAACUUGGGUACCGAGAAUCCGGAAACGAUUAGAACGAUAUACUGACGAACUAUAUGAAAUAUUUUUAUACUCCCGAAAGAAAGCACGUAAUUCCAGAACCGUCGUAGAAUUUUACGAUCGAUAUAAAGGGUACGAAGAUCCCUCUUGAUACUUUGCGAGUAAAAAUAAAGAAGACAAUUUUUAAGACGCAAAGUGUGAAGCUUUUUUCAGCUUCGUUUCAAGUGAAAAAGUGUAAUUUUUUCCAACAAAAACGAUUGCAGAAUAUCUACAUUUCCUGUUGAUUAAAGCCUUUCGAAAGCUAAUAAACAGUAGUUGUUUUACUUUAAUCUAACUAGUGUGUAAAGACUGUUAUUCAGAGCCGUGUUUAAAAUAACAAAUUAAAUGUACACAAAUGCUACUAUACACGUAAUAAAAAGAUAAUC